AGAUAGGGUAGAGGCAGAAGUAGACGCAAUUAAACAUGAAGGAUUGUGAAGGCAAAAGAUGAACCAGCCAGCCUAGUCUCUGGAUGCAUAAGCUCCAAGUGUGGAGGAGACCCGGAGAGAAAAGCAGACUGUUCUCUGUGUUUACCUGUAAGCACAGGCCGCAACCUGCCAUGCUGUUUUUAAAUGCCCAAGAGCUGGUGACAAGAGGGUUUCCCUUUGCCAUCUGGACCUGAUUGCCUUAGAGCAUCCUACCCAGCUUCUAAUCUAAGCUCAAACACACCCUCCUUCAGGAAGAUUUGCUGUUCUACCUUCUCCCCACCAAGCAGAGUGAAGGGAUUCUUCUUUGGAACUCCCACUCUCCUUUAUUUAUCUCCAGAUGGAUGAAAAAGGAAGAGGGUUUCUGUUUUGCUAAAAGCCCUCUGGUGAGCAAGUGGAUGAAAGAGGAGAGAGUUUGCCUGGGGCAGGGGUGGAAGGGGGAGUCGUGGCAGGGGCAAAUGCUAGGUAGCUUGAGAGAGAUAAAGAAGAUGUAAUUAGAGAAGAGGGGUGAUAUGUGAUUUAACCUUCUCCUUUAUCUGCCCUACAACAUCUUUAGUGAAAGUCGACAUUGCAAACCACAGUGACACGUGGAUAAAACUCACGUUGUUGGGGGGAGAAGAGCAAAACAUAUGCUUCACAAUAAAAACACUCAGUAUCCUAGGAAUAGGAGGGAACUUCCUCAACCAGAUAAAGGGCAUCUAUGAAAAACCCAGAGCUAACAUCACACUUAAUCGUGAAAGACUGAAAGCUUUCCCUCUAAAAUCAGAAACAAGAAAAGGAUGUCUACUACUGCCACUGCUAUUCAACAUUGUUCUGGAAAAUUCUAGGCAGAACAAGUAGGCAAGAGAAAAGAAGAGGUAUCCAGAUUGGAAAGGAAGAAAUAAAACUGUCUCUGUUUGACAGUUGUCAUAACCUUGUACAUAGAAGAUUAUGAAGAAGCUACCAAAAACUAUUUGAAUGACUAAACAAGUUUAGUAUGGUUGCAGGAUACAAGAUCAAUAUGCAAAAACCAGCUGUAGUUCUUCUAUAUGUUGAAAAGAAGAAAAUUUAGAACGAAAUUAAGAAAAAUUCAUUCACAAGAGCAUCAAAAAGGAUAAAAAAUAAGGCCAGGCAUGGUGGCUCAUGCCAGUUAAUCCCAGCACUAUGGGAGGCUGAGGAAGGAGGAUCACUCAAGCCCAGGAGUUUGAGACCACCUGAGCAACACGGCAAGACUCUAUCUCUACCAAAAAUUUUAAAAAAUUAGCCAGGUGUAGUGGCCAUGCCUGCAGUCCUAGUUACUCAGGAGGUUGAGGUGGGAGGAUCACUUGAACUCAGGAGAUUGAGGCUGCAGUGAGCUAUGAUCUGGCCACUGUACUCCAGCCUGGGUGUCAGAGAGAGAGACCCUGUCUCUAAAUGAAAAUAAAUAAAUACAUAAAAUUUUAAAAAAGAAUGAAAUACUUAGGAAUACAUUUAACCAAAGAAGUAUGAGGCUUUUUACAUUGCAAAACUAUAUAACAUUGUUGAAAGAAACUAAAGAAGACCUAAAUAAAUGGAAAGACAUCCCAUGUUUAUAGAUGGAAAAGUUUAAUAUUAAGAUAGCAAAACUUCUCAAAUUGAUCUACAGAUUCAAUGCCAUCCUUUCAAAAUACCAGCUAACUUUUUUGCAGAAGUUAACAAACCAAUCCUAAAAUUCAUAUGGAAAUUCAAGAGAAUCAGAGCAGUUAACCUUCAAAAAGAACAAAGUUGGAGGGUUCAUACUUCCUGAGUACUAAAACUUAGUACAAAGCUAUAGUAAUCAGAUACUAUGAAAUUGACAUAAGGACAGACAUAUAGAUCACUUGACUAGGCUUGACAGUCCAGAAAUAAACCUUCACAUUUCUGAUCAAUUGAUUUUCUACGAGGCAGCCAACACAAUUCUGUUUUAAAUAUGGUGGUAGGACAACGGAGUAGCUACAUUCAAAAGAAUGAAGUGAGACCCUUAACUCACACCAUAAACAAAAACUAAUUCAAAAUGGAUCAAAGACCUAAAUGCAAGCAUUAAAACUAUAAAACUCUUAGAAGAAAACAUAGGAGGAAAUCUUCAUGACCUUGGAUUAGUCAAUGGAUUCUAAGAUAUGAUACCCAAAGCAUAAGCAACAAAAGAAAAAAUAGAAAAAUUGGACUUUAUUUUUUUAAGAGAUGGGGUCUUGUUAUGUUGCCCAGGCUGGACUUGAAAUCCUAGGCUCAAGUGAUCCUCCUACCUCAGCCUCCUGAGUUGCUGGGACUACAAACAUGUACCGCCAUGCCCAGCUAAAUUGGACUUUAAAAUGGAAAACUUUUGUGCUUCAAAGACGUCAAAAAAGUGAAGACAACCCACAGAAUGAGAGAAAAUUUUCACAAAUUGUAUAUCUGAUAAGAGACUUGUGCCUAGAAUCUAUAAAGAAUGAUUACCACUCAAUAAUAAAAAGACAAAUAACCCCAUUAAAAACAGGCAAAGGAUCUGAAUAGACGUUUCUCCAAAGAAGAUAAAUAAAUGGCCGAUAAACACUUGAAAAGAUGCUCAACAUCAUUUGCCAUCAGGGAAAAGCAAAUCAAAACCAUGAUGAGAUGAUGAGAUACCACUUCACACCCACUAGGGUGGCUAUAAUAAAAAAGACAGAUCGUAAUAACUGUUGGCAAGGAGGUAGUGAAAUUCGAACCAUCAUCACACAUUGCUGGUGGGAAUGUAAAGUAGCACAGAGCUUUGAAAAACUGUUUGGCAGUUUCUCAAAAACUUAGAGUUACCAUAUGACUCAGCAACUUCCCUCGUAGGUAUAUAGAAGAGAAAUGAAAACAUAUGUCCACACAAAAACUUGUACAUGAAUGUUCAUAGCCGUAUUAUUCAUAAUAGCCAAAAGUGGAAAUCACCCAAAUGGUAAACUGAUGAGUGAAUAAAUAAAAUGUGCUUUAUACAUAUGAUGAAACAUUCUUUGUCAAUAAUGAAGAACUGAUCCCUGCCGCAACAUGGGGGAACUUAAAAGCAUGAUGUUAAGUGAAGGAAGUCAGAUUCAAAGGUCCAUGAUUCCAUUAUAAAUGGCAUUCCAUCUGUGGAAUUCCAUAUAUGGAACGUCUAGAAUAGGAACACUUCCUUUCUAUAGAGACAGAAAGGAAAUUAGGAGUUGCCAAGAGAGGAUGGGGAGACUGGUGGGUGAUGGCUGAGAAGGUGGCCGUGUUUCUUUUUGGGGUAACGAAAGUGUUCUGAAAUUGAUUGUAGUGAUGGCAGUACAACUCUGAAUUUACUGAAAGCCAUUGACUUGUACAUUUUAAAUUGGUGACUUGUACGGUGUACGAAUUACAUCUCAAUAAAGCUGGUUUUCUUUUCUUUGUUUCUUUAUUUUAAUAGACAGGGUCUCACUCUGUUGCCCAGGCCGGAGUGCAGUGGUGCGAUCAUAGCUCACUGCAGCCUUGAACUCUUGAGCUCAAGCAAUCCCCCCACCUCAGCCUCCCAAGUAGCUGAGACUAUAGGCAUUUGCCACCAUACCCAGCUAAUUUUGUUUAUUUUUUGUAGAGAUGAGGUCUUGCUAUGUUGCCCAGGCUGGUCUUGAACUCCUUGGCUCAAGUAAUCCUCUUGCCUUGGCCUUCCAAAUUGCUGGAAUUACAGGCAUGAGCCACCACACCCAGCUAAUAAAGCUCUUUAAAAAAAAAAAAGUUGCAUAUGGAUACAUACAACAUAUCAUUUAUAUGAAAAUAUUGAAACAUGCAAACAAUACUAUUGUUUAGAACACAUACAAGGGCAGCGAACGC
rnacentral:lncRNA from 1 species